GCCCCACUGCAGAGGGAAGUUUUGAGUCAGGGUGGUAUUGUGCUUGUGAGCUAUAUGUCAUCUCAGCACUGCUCCAAGGGGCUCCCACUGCAGAGCUUCUGGACAGGGAUUUCAGCAAGGGCAGCUAUUCAGUGAUACUGUAACCUUGGUGUCACCUGCUACUGGAGACAGCUGAAUGCAGCAGCAGGGACUGCAUUGCAGAGGACUCAUACAGUGGUUAUGGGGAAUGGAGAGCCCUCCCACUGCCCCUACAUUCAGGGGCUUAAAUCCAGCCCCUUCUAACCAGAGAUGGGGACAUAUUCAGGUCCUCCCCCAAGCUGGGCCAGACACCAGGGGAGUUGUAGCAACCCAGGGCAGAAAUGGGCUGUUCACCAGGACCUCACUCACUUUCUAUUGGCAUCUGGGGAAUCUGUGCCCUGGUUAUGCUGAAGUGGAUCCAUGCAGAACUGCACUACUGGCUUUGUGAACAGAUCACUGAGCACAUGCAGUGUCAAUUUGUUUUUUCGCAUCUGUUCAUCUAGAGCAGGGGGCUCAGCAAAGCCUGUUUUGCCAUGCCUUAGUCAUGUCCUUACCUGGAAAGAAUGUAGCUGUUCCAGCUCAAUGACCCAACACGGGAAGAAUGGCUGGUCAUAUUUCGGAGCCGUUUCUGUUGCUGUAUGUCCCACAGCUGCAAAGAGACAUUAAGAGCACACGGCUGAACUCCUGUCAC